AACGCAAAUUGCACUCUCCAGUUUUCCGGGAGAGUAUGCCUGUUUGAGGGUCAGCCUAAAAAAGAUCGACAUCGUUGCUGUUGUUUUCAUGGUAACUUUCGUCGGAGAUUAGGUCAUCUUAAACCCUUUCGGGUUUUUAAGCGACUUAAAAUUUUUUUGAACGAUUCUGAGAACGUUUCUAAGAUUUUUUCUUACAUGUUCAAGGUGUCUUUAUUAGACGUGGCCGUCUCAUCGGAUCGCGUUCAUAAUUUUUCGUUAACUGACCUCAGACAAAGAGUACCCGCUGAACUUAA
rnacentral:misc_RNA from 1 species